rnacentral:rRNA from 1 species
GUCCACAUGAGAGAUGUUUGUGGUCUGGCCUGCUCACUGAGCGGUAGUAAGCUUAAAGAGCCGCGGUAUAUUGACCGUGCAAAGGUAGCAUAAUCAUUAGUUUUUUAAUUGAAAACUCGUAUGAAUGGUUAAACAAAAGAGGUUCUGUCUCUUUAUUUUAUAUUGAAUUUAACUUUUAAGUGAAAAGGCUUAAAUUUUUUAGGGGGACGAUAAGACCCUAUAAAGCUUUUAUAAUGAAAUAAUAUUUUUUUAAAAUAAUUUAUAAAAAUAAAGUAAAAUUACUUUAUUUUGUUGGGGCGACAUAGAUAUAAAUAUAUUAUUUAACUGUCAGUAUAUAAAUACAUAAAUUUAUGGAUACGAUAGAUGAUCCUUAUUUAAAGAUUAAAAGACUAAGUUACUUUAGGGAUAACAGCAUUAUUUCUUUUGAGAGUUCUUAUUGAAAAAGAAGUUUGUGACCUCGAUGUUGAAUUAAAGAAUCUUUAUAGUGUAGCCGUUAUAAAAAGAAGGUCUGUUCGACCUUUAAAUCUUUAC